GUACAUGUUGCUCUUUGGUGCAAAGCCUGAAUAAGGAGCGCAUUGCACAGAGCGAUACUUUGUUUCCCUCACUGUUACCAUGUCAAAUUUUUGUCUGCCUAUGCUAAAGGCUUGAUGGGUGCUUGUAAAGCAAGAUAUAUAGAAAAACUAGAGGCAUGUAACCUGAAACAGGACCCGUAUCAGAUCGACGCAAAAAAGCUGGAGGCUUACCGGAAAUAAUUCCUGACGUGUAGUGGAACGACAUGUACAUCUACAUGAUUUCAACCCCGAGCCAGCACACAAAGGAAGACUUAAGAGCAUGGAAAUCCAUGACAGGAUCAGAUUGUUUUGUCAAGGCUAGAUGGGUCCACGAUAUGCGACUUCACACAAACCAAUCUGGGUCCGGGAAGACCAGAUAUGUGGUGAUUGGCAGGGUGAAACUCGGCUAGAGAAUGACAGCAACCCCUCUGGUUCCAUGGUUUGCUGCUGAGAAGUGCCGAGAAAUUAUAGCUGCACACUGUACACGCAUGGCCGGAUUGGGAGAAGCCUGUAGCCUUGUUGCUGCAUUAAUAUCAAGUGUUGUAAAAGCCAACCAGUUGAGGAAAGCUCCAGGAUCAGAUGCCUGUACUUCUCAGAAGUGUGCAUGGCUACCAGCAAAAAGAAAUGUAUGUGCUGCAGAAGUGAAACACAUCAAUUUUAGAAAGCCUUCAAGUACCUGCAAGAAACCUUGGACAGAAGCUGCUAUAGCACCCCCUACAUUAGAUGAACUGGCCGUAUUCCAUGCAUCUCUCCAGCAAGUAUCAGCUCGGCCAGUUGUUCAUUGUGUCAUGGAUGCAUAUGCCCAAGAAUUUAUUCCCCUCUCUGCUACUGACAUNGUACCCCAAGGCCCUCUCAUCUCUCUAUGACCCGGACAGUUUGGACCUGACUUACCCUCAACUAUUUCAGAAAUGUGCCACUGUCAGUGACUCAAUGAAGGUUCAGUUUUCUCCACCCAGCAGAACUCCUGCCACUUUUGAAAACUUGCCUCUUGUAAUUUCACUACAUGUUUGUCACAUGGGUAAAUGGCCUUCAAACCUAAAGAAUACAUCCAAAAAUCAAGAAUGGUCUUUCUGAAACAGUUUUAGCCUCCAUGAAUGGAGAAUGUAAGCCUUCAAUCAAUUUAAGCAAUAACAAUGAUUUGAACAGUUUUUCAGAAGUCAGACUUGCAUUUGCAAUGAGCAUUUGCAUUACAGCAAGCAUGCCCAACUGAGACUAGAUGACUCACUCAAGGUAUGGGGCUAAAUACAUGACCAGCAGUUCACAUCAGUUGUUUAAAUAAGUGUGCUGAUAGAAUGCCUCCAAGAAAAAUGGGAUAAUUUUUAGAGCUAAAAGUACUUUUUUUGAUUACCAGUUUUAGUCCCGUGAUAUGAUUGAAAUAUUUCUUCGAUGAAACGAUGAAUGUACACGUAGUAACAAAUGUAUUGAGCCAAAGUCUAUUUUCUGUUCAACACAGAUAACAACAGAGCGGUGUCAAGCUGUGGAAGAAGGAACUAAAGGUCAGGCUAACUGCAAGAUCUGGUUGGCCCAGAGGGAGCCCUACAGUUCCUAAGGAUAGAUGACAUCAGAGGCAUAAGGUCUAUUGUCUGCGCGUAUACCCCAGGCCUGGAGACCUAGACCAAACUCUAGACAACAGAUUCGUAUGCAAUAAAACAUGGGACUGGGAGCAACUCAACUCUUGUGCUUGCAUACCACAAUCGUCUGGCAUUAAUAUGCAUUCUGACUGUCAGUUACGUGUAUGGUAGUUUCAACAUCACUUCAAUUCACACUUUGCUCAACAAGCUCAAGCCAGUUUGAAAGAAGCACCUUUUUGCCAGAACAUAGUGUGGCGGGACAACUGAUGCUAGCCAACCUUGCGUAGCCAACACCCCGCUUGCGAUCGCGGUCAUUUUGGCCGCGUCUUCUACGCUGAGUUUGUCUAAAUCAGGGGGUUUAAUUUUUCAGCAGCUUUUUACCAAGCAUGGCGUAUCCCAUCGAAAUGACGCUGACAGCAACGCAGUGAUAUACUAUAUUGGCAAUUCGUUUGCAUCGAUUGCUUUACUCAUUUUUUUUUUUAUUAUAUAGCGAUUUUUAUUUUACUUCAUUGCUAAAUUUUCUGAUGCACUAGCUUUCGCUGGGACAGGCAGCGAUGGCGCUCGUAUUUGGUUUACAUCAGGCGUUUUCUUUAAAAAAAAAAACAAUGCGAGAGUGACUACCCCUAUCAACAAUCCGCCUAAAAUCAAGUUUCUGUGAUCCGCGUAUAUUUUAGUUUCUGAUUUUGUCUUGGCAGGCUCACGAGAUUUUAAUUCUAAAAGUUGUUGUUUCAUGCGCUUGUUAUGUUCUGCCACGCGUUUUCCUUGUUCGACUCGCCUGGGAUUUUUACUCUGGGUGACAGUCUGAACUUGUAUUUCGGUAGGAAGAGUCUUGAUCGGACUCGAUUGCAUGAUGGAUAUAAUCUAAUCUGUUUUCACGAUUUUGCGGCAUUACAUUUUGAUUUCUUUGCAUUUCUAAUUAGGUAAUUUUUUUAUUAUAAUGUAUAUUUUAUCAUUAUUAUCGGCGUCUUUCCUCUUUGAGGAGAGACGUCGAAUUUUAUUUCAAAACCGUCUUUCGUCUCCCACACGAAGCAAGUGCGAUGCCUUUGACGCUGCACGUCUUUUUUUGCUCGGACUAUGGCGUCUUCUUUCACCGGUGUAGAUUAAGUGUUUAAUUAACCGAGUGGCGUGCCCGCCGACUAGUUUUGCGCACUCAAAUUGGAUUGCAAAGGUGAGCGACAAGUUUAGGGAACCUGGUAAAGUCUGAGGAAUUGGGGAUUUUUAUGGAUUUUUUUGGAGAGUGGAGAUUUUUGUGAAUUUGUUAAAGUUUUGGCGGAUUUUUUGGAUUUUCUUUUUUUAUUUUUGGAGAGAGAAAUUUUUCAAUUCUUAGAAAAAUCACAGAAAUAUCCAUUCCUUACUACUCGCUGUCACUUCAAUUCACACGUAGGCAGUUAUUGCUGAGCUGCCCAUCCAGUGUAUAAAGACCAGUGGGCAUCACCCACAGGUAUAAGGGUGCACCCUCGUAAUUAGGCCAGAAAUAUGUCCGCCGAGCUCAUUAAUAAGAGUUACACACUCAAAA